AUGGCUCAUUACAACAGCCGUUGUUUCUUGGAUCUUGAUUUACUUGGAUAACUGCUGGUAAUUCUAGAGCUAAUACAUGCAACACAGCUCCGACCGCACGGAAGGAGCGCAUUUAUUAGACCAAGACCAAUCAGGCCUCGGCCUGGAAUCUGGUGACUCUGAAUAACUUUGCUGAUCACACGGUCCUAGCACCGGUGACAUAUCUUUCAAGUGUCUGCCCUAUCAACUUUCGAUGGUAGUUUAUGUGCCUACCAUGGUUGUAACGGGUAACGGAGAAUAAGGGUUCGACUCCGGAGAGGGAGCCUGAGAAAUGGCUACCACAUCCAAGGAAGGCAGCAGGCGCGCAAAUUACCCACUCUCAGCUCGAGGAGGUAGUGACGAAAAAUAACGAGACGGUUCUCUAUGAGGCCCGUCAUCGGAAUGGGUACAAUUUAAACCCUUUAACGAGGAUCUAUUGGAGGGCAAGUCUGGUGCCAGCAGCCGCGGUAAUUCCAGCUCCA
rnacentral:rRNA from 1 species